GCAAACAGAUAUAGUACUAUCAUAAGCCCGACUGACAAACCAAGGUCCAUCUUAACGAUGGCAAGGCAUUGAAUUGUAACCGUACCGUAAAUUUGAUUAUUUUUUUAAAUAUGAUUCAAGUCUUUUACGAUGCUAAAAGUGCAACUACAAUAUUAUGUAUAAACCGAAAUUCACCACGUCAUAAUGAAAUAAUAGAUGAGCGUUGUCGUUGGUGAACCCGUCGCUACUGUGAUAUGUUCCGUCAAUCGGAGGCAGUCGCGAGAUGCGACUAUUUUUUUUAUUUCAGUACCUGCUUUUUCUUUCUUGCUUUGUUUUCUUCACCAGGGAAGCGUCCGAUUAUAUGUGCCUGUCUACAAUGAAUGAAGUGAGCUAUUUUACUCUGUUGAUGAGAAAGAUACUAUCUUUAUUCGAUAGUUCAUACGACACAGUCCCUUUUACAUGUUUACUACAUGAAGCUCUAGAUUUCCCUUUGAUGAUACUGAUCAGAAUAGUGUUUGCCUACACCUGUACCCUUGUGGCUACACUGUUAGUUAUCUUUCUUGAAUGGAUUGUCAUCAGAGCCAGCCACGAAUGCACUUGCUUGCCCUGAACUUUGCAAUCUUAUACUACAGAAUAAAUACAUUU